rnacentral:rRNA from 1 species
UGAGUGCGAGCUUCUACGGAAGCGAAGUUGGUGACGUCAAGCUUCCAAGAAAAGCCCUAUACCCGUUAAGGCAUGAUUACCUGUACCCGAAACCGACACAGGUGGGGUGGUAGAGAAUACCGAGGGGCGCGAGGUAACUCUCUCUAAGGAACUCGGCAAAAUGACCCCGUAACUUCGGGAGAAGGGGUGCCAGCGCGAGCUGGUCGCAGUGAAUAGGCCCAGGCGACUGUUUACCAAAAACACAGGUCUCCGCUAAGUCGCAAGACGAUGUAUGGGGGCUGACGCCUGCCCAGUGCCGGAAGGUUAAAGAAGUUGGUCAGCGCAAGCGAAGCUAACGACUGAAGCCCCGGUGAACGGCGGCCGUAACAAUAACGGUCCUAGGGUAGCGAAAUUCCUUGUCGGGUAAGUUCCGACCCGCACGAAAGGCGUAACGAUCUGGGCGCUGUCUCGGAGAGAGGCUCGGCGAAAUAGAAUUGUCUGUGAAGAUGCGGACUACGUGCACCCGGACAGAAAGACCCUAUGAAGCUUUACUGUAGCUUGGUAUUGUGCUCGGGCUCGCAAUGCGCAGGAUAGGUGGGAGGCUUUGAUCCAUUGCUUGUGGGUGAUGGUGAGCCACUGGUGAGAUACCACUCUUUGCGAGCUAGGGUUCUAACGGUUACCCGUCAUCCGGGAACCGGACAGUAUCUGGUGGGCAGUUUGACUGGGGCGGUCGCCUCCUAAAAGGUAACGGAGGCGCGCAAAGGUUUGCUCAGGCUGGUUGGAAAUCAGCCGACGAGUGUAAAAGCAGAAGCAAGCUUGACUGUGAGACCUACAAGUCGAACAGGGAGGAAACUCGGCUUUAGUGAUCCGACGGUUCUGAGUGGAAGGGCCGUCGCUCAACGGAUAAAAGUUACUCUAGGAUAACAGGCUGAUCUCCCCCAAGAGUUCACAUCGACGGGGAGGUUUGGCACCUCGAUGUCGGCUCAUCGCAACCUGGGGCUGAAGUCGGUCCCAAGGGUUGGGCUGUUCGCCCAUUAAAGCGGUACGCGAGCUGGGUUCAGAACGUCGUGAGACAGUUCGGUCCAUAUCCGGUGCAUGCGCAGGAAUAUUGAGAGGAUUUCUCCCUAGUACGAGAGGACCGGGAGGAACGCACCUCUGGUGUACCAGUUAUCGUGCCAACGGUAAACGCUGGGUAGCCAUGUGCGGAGUGGAUAACCGCUGAAAGCAUCUAAGUGGGAAGCCCACCUCAAGAUGAGUAUUCCCAUGGCUUAAGCCAGUAAGGUCACGGGAAGAACACCCGUUGAUAGGCUCUAUGUGGAAGCGCAGUAAUGCGUGAAGCAGAGGAGUACUAAUAGACCGAGGGCUUG